UAAGGACGAUAAUGCCCGGAAGGUGGAAAUAGUAGCCCGAGAAAUAGUCCCCGAGGAAAUAGUAGCCUCUAUCACAAGAUUAGAGUCUAACAAUGCCCGUGGGGCAUACAAUGCUUUAUGUUUUACCUAAAAAUUGAUUUUUAUGAACAAAAAUAAUUUUAAUAUUAAUUAAAAAAUAAGGUCUAUCUGUACAGGUAGGUAUACGUACAUACCUACCUACAGAAAUUUUUUUAUCAAGUGACUUGCCGUGAUUAUUUAAGUUUGACUUUGAUGUUUCUGUCAGUUAGUCAGUUCGCAUUUUCUGUUUAAAUAUUUGCUUAAAAUGGAAGAAAUUCCAGAAAAUAUAAGAGAAAAGGCCAUAAAAGCGACCGAAAAUCUUUUGCCAGGUAAAUUAAGGCAACAGUAUGAUCGGGAGUAUGGCAUAUUUGGUAUUUGGAAAGAUGCCAACGCAAUUGUUCAAAUAACCGAAACCGUUCUAAUGGCAUAUUUUCACGAACUGUCAGAAAAAUACAGUCCGAACUCUCUCUGGACCAAGUAUUCUACCCUAACGUCUACGUUAAUGGUCUAUAAAAAUAUAGACAUCUCGCAAUACCACCGUCUCAUAUCUUUUUUAAAAGUUGAAAGGAUAUGUCCCGAAGAAGUCUAAAGUUUUGGAAGGAGAACAAUUAAUAAAUUUAUUAAGAAGGCUCCUGAUGAUAUCUAAUUGGUACACAAAGUCAUAUUGGUAAUGGGUGUUUUUGGAGGUUUAAGACGAUGAGUUGGUAAAAAUGACCAUUGAUGAUAUUGAAGAUAGAGGAACGGUCUUGGUUAUACCAUAGGAAGCAUCCCAACAUUGAUCGCAAAAUUUUUAAAACUAGAUAAUGCAGAAGCUGAUACCGGCAACUGUUUGCGUCGCACAUCGUCAACUUUACUUGUUGAGGCAGGUGCUUCGUUUGAAAUGCUAAAACAACAUGGGAAAUGGAAAAGCUCUUUAGUAGCUGAAGGAUAUAUAGAAGAAAGUAUUUCAUCCAAAAAUAAAGUAGCCAAAAUGAUUGCCAAUUCAGUUAAUUCCGAGGUUAAUUCCGUAUCGACUAUUGAAAAUUCUUUAAUGGACAAUUUACAAACUAUACAAAAUAGCGUUAGUGCUGCCACCUCUACCAUCACAAAAAACACCAACCAUUCUAUAGUGGGAUCAGCUACAUUUUCCGGGACAUUUCAAAAUUGUAAUUUUUAUUUUGGAAAUAAAAUUUAAUUUUUAGUA